rnacentral:rRNA from 1 species
CCCUUAGAUGUUCUGGGCCGCACGCGCGCUACACUGAUACGUUCAGCGAGUAUAUAACCUUGAUUGGAAAAUCUGGGUAAUCUUUUGAAUGCGUAUCGUGCUAGGGAUAGAUUAUUGCAAUUAUUAAUCUUGAACGAGGAAUUCCUAGUAAACGCAAGUCAUCAGCUUGCAUUGAUUACGUCCCUGCCCUUUGUACACACCGCCCGUCGCUACUACCGAUUGAAUGGCUUAGUGAGCCUUUGGGAUUGGCAGCUUGUACCGGCAACGGUAGCAGGCCGCUGAAAACUUAGGCAAACUUGGUCAUUUAGAGGAAGUAAAAGUCGUAACA